GACGAACCGAGCGAACGUUGUUCGGAAUCACUGGGCUUAAAGGGCGCGUAGGCGGGCGGCCGCGUCCGGGGUGAAAUCCUCCCGCCCAACGGGAGAACGGCCUCGGAUACGGGCGGCCUCGAGGGGGGUAGGGGCAGGCGGAACUGUGGGUGGAGCGGUGAAAUGCGUUGAGAUCCACAGGAACUCCGGUGGCGAAGGCGGCCUGCUGGACCCCUCCUGACGCUGAAAAACGAAAGCCAGGGGAGCAAACGGG
rnacentral:rRNA from 1 species